CCGCUUUUGGAUGGGCCCGCGGCGCAUUAGCUAGUUGGUGGGGUAAAGGCUUACCAAGGCAAUGAUGCGUAGCCGAACUGAGAGGUUGAUCGGCCACAUUGGGACUGAGACACGGCCCAAACUCCUACGGGAGGCAGCAGUAGGGAAUCUUCCACAAUGGGCGAAAGCCUGAUGGAGCAACGCCGCGUGGGUGAAGAAGGUCUUCGGAUCGUAAAACCCUGUUGUUAGAGAAGAAAGUGCGUGAGAGUAACUGUUCACGUUUCGACGGUAUCUAACCAGAAAGCCACGGCUAACUACGUGCCAGCAGCCGCGGUAAUACGUAGGUGGCAAGCGUUAUCCGGAUUUAUUGGGCGUAAAGGGAACGCAGGCGGUCUUUUAAGUCUGAUGUGAAAGCCUUCGGCUUAACCGGAGUAGUGCAUUGGAAACUGGGAGACUUGAGUGCAGAAGAGGAGAGUGGAACUCCAUGUGUAGCGGUGAAAUGCGUAGAUAUAUGGAAGAACACCAGUGGCGAAAGCGGCUCUCUGGUCUGUAACUGACGCUGAGGUUCGAAAGCGUGGGUAGCAAACAGGAUUAGAUACCCUGGUAGUCCACGCCGUAAAC
rnacentral:rRNA from 1 species